GGGGUUGUGGCUCAGUGAUAGAGCACUUGCCUUGCAUGUGUGAGGCACUGGGUUCAAAUCUCAGCACCA
rnacentral:tRNA from 1 species